rnacentral:lncRNA from 1 species
CAGACACCUACAACAGGGUGGAGAAUGGGGAGAGGGGCCUUUGUUUUGGUGGCAUUUCUUGUCUAACCAGGGAUGUAGCCUUCAGUGACAACUUCUGCCUAUCAGAUAAUGGAUAUGGCAGUGGGCCAGACAUCCAAGGUCUUGGGGCAAUACCAGCAUACCUUUGAGGCUUAGUUCACAAUGUAGUGGUUUCUUCUGUCUGUCCUAUGGCAGGGCAGAAGGUACUUUCAUGGUUGGUGAACAGCAUCUUUGGGACAGCAAUUCAAUUAUCCUUAAUUAAUGAAGAAGCAAAUCAGAAAAAACUUUCAUAUAUGCAUCUGCCUAAAGGUCAGAUGGAAUGACGGAAAUCCAUGACAGGCCUGUGCUGUGUCCCCAGCUCCACCCGCAUGCUGCCUGAUAACUGUAUUUUCAUAGAACCAGAGGCCUAUUGCAAUUAAGGCAUUUGAAGUGCCUGUCAUGUGGCCAGACCCUAGGAGAUGAGUUUAACGCAGCAGAUCACAUGAAUUGAUCCAGGCAAGCCUGUUGCUUCUGGGCCCAAGAAUCCAGGAGUCCCUGUCCAUCUUAUGUGGCCUUCCCCUCUCCGCUCCACACCCAUCUGGUCGCAAAGGAGCAAAGAAGCCUCCUCAGCAGAAGAGAAUGCUUGUCCUUCCUGCCUUCCUGCCUCCCAGGGAGCUUCCUUCAGCUCCUGCAUCAUCUGUGCCCUCCACACAGAUUCAGUUCAAGUACUUCUCUACAAUCAUCCAACAAGAUAUUGGACACUAGAAAUGGAAGGCCAGAAUCUUUCCUUAUCUCUGCACAUCAGUGGGCCAUCAAAUUCAUCACCUGAUGGAGCACCUUUAUGACAGCAACCUGCGCCUUGCUGAGCAAGACUUU